rnacentral:rRNA from 1 species
UAGAUACCCUGGUAGUCCACGCCGUAAACGAUGUCUACUUGGAGGUUGUGCCCUAGAGGUGUGGCUUUCGGAGCUAACGCGUUAAGUAGACCGCCUGGGGAGUACGGUCGCAAGAUUAAAACUCAAAUGAAUUGACGGGGGCCCGCACAAGCGGUGGAGCAUGUGGUUUAAUUCGAUGCAACGCGAAGAACCUUACCUACUCUUGACAUCCAGAGAAUCUAGCGGAGACGCUGGAGUGCCUUCGGGAGCUCUGAGACAGGUGCUGCAUGGCUGUCGUCAGCUCGUG